rnacentral:rRNA from 1 species
GGAGUUAGCCGGUGCUUCUUCUGCGAGUAACGUCACAGAUGUAAGGUAUUAACUUACACCCUUUCCUCCUCGCUGAAAGUGCUUUACAACCCGAAGGCCUUCUUCACACACGCGGCAUGGCUGCAUCAGGGUUUCCCCCAUUGUGCAAUAUUCCCCACUGCUGCCUCCCGUAGGAGUCUGGGCCGUGUCUCAGUCCCAGUGUGGCUGAUCAUCCUCUCAGACCAGCUAGGGAUCGUCGCCUAGGUGAGCCUUUACCUCACCUACUAGCUAAUCCCACCUGGGCUUAUCCAUCAGCGCAAGGCCCGAAGGUCCCCUGCUUUCCCCCGUAGGGCGUAUGCGGUAUUAGCAGUCGUUUCCAACUGUUAUCCCCCACAAAUGGGCAAAUUCCCAGGCAUUACUCACCCGUCCGCCGCUCGUCAUCUUCAAAAGCAAGCUUUUGAAAUGUUACCGCUCGACUUGCAUGUGUUAGGCCUGCCGCCAGCGUUCAUCUCGAACCAUGAUACAACUACUGA